rnacentral:rRNA from 1 species
UCCGUAGGUGAACCUGCGGAAGGAUCAUUACCGAGUGUAGGGUUCCUAGCGAGCCCAACCUCCCACCCGUGUUUACUGUACCUUAGUUGCUUCGGCGGGCCCGCCAUUCAUGGCCGCCGGGGGCUCUCAGCCCCGGGCCCGCGCCCGCCGGAGACACCACGAACUCUGUCUGAUCUAGUGAAGUCUGAGUUGAUUGUAUCGCAAUCAGUUAAAACUUUCAACAAUGGAUCUCUUGGUUCCGGCAUCGAUGAAGAACGCAGCGAAAUGCGAUAACUAGUGUGAAUUGCAGAAUUCCGUGAAUCAUCGAGUCUUUGAACGCACAUUGCGCCCCCUGGUAUUCCGGGGGGCAUGCCUGUCCGAGCGUCAUUGCUGCCCAUCAAGCACGGCUUGUGUGUUGGGUCGUCGUCCCCUCUCCGGGGGGGACGGGCCCCAAAGGCAGCGGCGGCACCGCGUCCGAUCCUCGAGCGUAUGGGGCUUUGUCACCCGCUCUGUAGGCCCGGCCGGCGCUUGCCGAACGCAAAUCAAUCUUUUUCCAGGUUGACCUUGGAUCAGGUAGGGAUACCCGCUGAACUUAAGCAUAUCAAUAAGCG